rnacentral:tRNA from 1 species
AAGAUGUUAGUAAAUAUUAUUACACUACCUUGUCAGAGCAGAAUAACAAUAUAUCUUGUACAUCUUA